rnacentral:rRNA from 1 species
CUACGUGCCAGCAGCCGCGGUAAUACGUAUGUCACGAGCGUUAUCCGGAUUUAUUGGGCGUAAAGCGCGUCUAGGUGGUUAUAUAAGUCUGAUGUGAAAAUGCAGGGCUCAACUCUGUAUUGCGUUGGAAACUGUAUAACUAGAGUACUGGAGAGGUAAGCGGAACUACAAGUGUAGAGGUGAAAUUCGUAGAUAUUUGUAGGAAUGCCGAUGGGGAAGCCAGCUUACUGGACAGAUACUGACGCUGAAGCGCGAAAGCGUGGGUAGCAAACAGGAUUAGAUACCCUGGUAGUCCAUGCCGUAAACGUUGGGCACUAGGUGUGGGGGACAUUCCACGUUUUCCGCGCCGUAGCUAACGCAUUAAGUGCCCCGCCUGGGGAGUACGGCCGCAAGGCUAAAACUCAAAGGAAUUGACGGGGACCCGCACAAGCGGUAGAGCAUGUGGUUUAAUUCGAAGCAACGCGAAGAACCUUACCAGGUCUUGACAUCCCUCUGAUCGCUCUAGAGAUAGAGUUUUC